rnacentral:ncRNA from 1 species
CAUUGGUGAGAAUCCAAUGCCCCGAAAACCCAAGGUUUCCUCCGCAAGGUUCGUCCAUGGAGGGUGAGUCGGGGCCUAAGAUCAGGCCAAAAGGCGUAUUUGAUGGACAACAUGUCAAUAUUCCUGUACUACCCCUUGUUGGUAUGGAGGGACGGAGGAGGCUAGGUUAGCUGAAAGAUGGUUAUAGGUUUAAGGACACAAGGUGACCCUGCUUUUUCAGGGUAAGAAGGGGUAGAGAAAAUGCCUCGAGACGAGGUCCGAGUACCAAGCGCUGCAGCACUGAAGUAUGAGCCCGGUGGACUAGCGAUUGCUUCUCCACGAGGCUCAUACCAGGCG